UACGUAGGGCGCAAGCGUUGUCCGGAAUUAUUGGGCGUAAAGAGCUCGUAGGCGGCUUGUCACGUCGGGUGUGAAAGCCCGGGGCUUAACCCCGGGUCUGCAUUCGAUACGGGCAGGCUAGAGUGUGGUAGGGGAGAUCGGAAUUCCUGGUGUAGCGGUGAAAUGCGCAGAUAUCAGGAGGAACACCGGUGGCGAAGGCGGAUCUCUGGGCCAUUACUGACGCUGAGGAGCGAAAGCGUGGGGAGCGAACAGGAUUAGAAACCCCAGUAGUCC
rnacentral:rRNA from 1 species